GACGAACCGUCCAAACGUUAUUCGGAAUCACUGGGCUUAAAGGGUGCGUAGGCGGUCUGUUAAGUUGGGUGUGAAAGACCUCGGCCUAACCGAGGAAUUGCGCCCAAAACUAGCGGACUUGAGCAAGGCAGAGGUGAACGGAACUUAGGGUGGAGCGGUGAAAUGCGUUGAUAUCCUAAGGAACACCAGUAGCGAAAGCGGUUCACUGGGCCUUUUCUGACGCUGAUGCACGAAAGCCAGGGGAGCGAAC
rnacentral:rRNA from 1 species